GACGAACGCUGGCGGCGUGCUUAACACAUGCAAGUCGAACGGAAAGGCCCUGCUUUUGUGGGGUGCUCGAGUGGCGAACGGGUGAGUAACACGUGAGUAACCUGCCCUUGACUUUGGGAUAACUUCAGGAAACUGGGGCUAAUACCGGAUAGGAGCUCCUGCUGCAUGGUGGGGGUUGGAAAGUUUCGGCGGUUGGGGAUGGACUCGCGGCUUAUCAGCUUGUUGGUGGGGUAGUGGCUUACCAAGGCUUUGACGGGUAGCCGGCCUGAGAGGGUGACCGGCCACAUUGGGACUGAGAUACGGCCCAGACUCCUACGGGAGGCAGCAGUGGGGAAUACUGCACAAUGGGCGGAAGCCUGAUGCAGCAACGCCGCGUGCGGGAUGACGGCCUUCGGGUUGUAAACCGCUUUCGCCUGUGACGAAGCGUGAGUGACGGUAAUGGGUAAAGAAGCACCGGCUAACUACGUGCCAGCAGCCGCGGUGAUACGUAGGGUGCGAGCGUUGUCCGGAUUUAUUGGGCGUAAAGGGCUCGUAGGUGGUUGAUCGCGUCGGAAGUGUAAUCUUGGGGCUUAACCCUGAGCGUGCUUUCGAUACGGGUUGACUUGAGGAAGGUAGGGGAGAAUGGAAUUCCUGGUGGAGCGGUGGAAUGCGCAGAUAUCAGGAGGAACACCAGUGGCGAAGGCGGUUCUCUGGGCCUUUCCUGACGCUGAGGAGCGAAAGCGUGGGGAGCGAACAGGCUUAGAUACCCUGGUAGUCCACGCUGUAAACGGUGGGUACUAGGUGUGGGGUCCAUUCCACGGGUUCCGUGCCGUAGCUAACGCUUUAAGUACCCCGCCUGGGGAGUACGGCCGCAAGGCUAAAACUCAAAGGAAUUGACGGGGCCCCGCACAAGCGGCGGAGCAUGCGGAUUAAUUCGAUGCAACGCGUAGAACCUUACCUGGGUUUGACAUGGAUCGGGAGUGCUCAGAGAUGGGUGUGCCUCUUUUGGGGUCGGUUCACAGGUGGUGCAUGGCUGUCGUCAGCUCGUGUCGUGAGAUGUUGGGUUAAGUCCCGCAACGAGCGCAACCCUUGUUCACUGUUGCCAGCACGUUAUGGUGGGGACUCAGUGGAGACCGCCGGGGUCAACUCGGAGGAAGGUGGGGAUGACGUCAAGUCAUCAUGCCCCUUAUGUCCAGGGCUUCACGCAUGCUACAAUGGCUGGUACAGAGAGUGGCGAGCCUGUGAGGGUGAGCGGAUCUCGGAAAGCCGGUCUCAGUUCGGAUUGGGGUCUGCAACUCGACCUCAUGAAGUCGGAGUCGCUAGUAAUCGCAGAUCAGCAACGCUGCGGUGAAUACGUUCCCGGGGCU
rnacentral:rRNA from 1 species